rnacentral:rRNA from 1 species
UACACUCCUACGGGAGGCAGCAGUGGGGAAUAUUGGACAAUGGGCGCAAGCCUGAUCCAGCCAUGCCGCGUGAGUGAUGAAGGCCCUAGGGUUGUAAAGCUCUUUCACCGGUGAAGAUAAUGACGGUAACCGGAGAAGAAGCCCCGGCUAACUUCGUGCCAGCAGCCGCGGUAAUACGAAGGGGGCUAGCGUUGUUCGGAUUUACUGGGCGUAAAGCGCACGUAGGCGGACUAUUAAGUCAGGGGUGAAAUCCCGGGGCUCAACCCCGGAACUGCCUUUGAUACUGGUAGUCUUGAGUUCGAGAGAGGUGAGUGGAAUUCCGAGUGUAGAGGUGAAAUUCGUAGAUAUUCGGAGGAACACCAGUGGCGAAGGCGGCUCACUGGCUCGAUACUGACGCUGAGGUGCGAAAGCGUGGGGAGCAAACAGGAUUAGAAACCCCUGUAGUCCC